GCUCAAGAACUCAAAGGAUUGACGGGGCCGCACAAGCGGUGGAGCAUGUGGUUUAAUUCGAUGAUACGCGAGGAACCUUACCUGGGCUCAAAUGUAUGUUGACGUAUUCUGAAAGGGAUACUUCUUCGGACAAUAUACAAGGUGCUGCAUGGUUGUCGUCAGCUCGUGCCGUGAGGUGUCGGGUUAAGUCCCAUAACGAGCGCAACCCUACCUUUAGUUGCCAUCAGGUAAUGCUGGGGACUCUAAAGGAACUGCCUACGCAAGUAGUGAGGAAGGCGGGGAUGACGUCAAAUCAGCACGGCCCUUACGUCCAGGGCUACACACGUGCUACAAUGGCCGAUACAGAGGGCAGCUACCUGGUGACAGGAUGCAAAUCUCCAAAGUCGGUCUCAGUUCGGAUCGGAGUCUGCAACCCGACUCCGUGAAGUUGGAUUCGCUAGUAAUCGCGCAUCAGCCAUGGCGCGGUGAAUACGUUCCCGGGCCUU
rnacentral:rRNA from 1 species